rnacentral:SRP_RNA from 1 species
GCUGGGCGUGGUGAUGCAUGCCUGUAGUCCCAGCUACUUGGGAGGCUGAGGCAGAAGAAUCGCUUGAACCCGGGAGGCAGAGGUUGCAGUGAGCCGAGAUCACUCCACCGCACUCCAACCUGGGUGACAGAGUGAGACUCUGUCUCAA